CCUACGGGAGGCAGCAGUGGGGAAUAUUGGACAAUGGGGGCAACCCUGAUCCAGCCAUGCCGCGUGUGUGAAGAAGGCCCUCGGGUUGUAAAGCACUUUCAGUGAGGAAGAACGCCUGGUGGUUAAUACCCAUCAGGAAAGACAUCACUCACAGAAGAAGCACCGGCUAACUCCGUGCCAGCAGCCGCGGUAAUACGGAGGGUGCGAGCGUUAAUCGGAAUUACUGGGCGUAAAGCGCGCGUAGGUGGCUUGAUAAGCCGGUUGUGAAAGCCCCGGGCUCAACCUGGGAACGGCAUCCGGAACUGUCAAGCUAGAGUGCAGGAGAGGAAGGUAGAAUUCCCGGUGGAGCGGUGAAAUGCGUAGAGAUCGGGAGGAAUACCAGUGGCGAAGGCGGCCUUCUGGACUGACACUGACACUGAGGUGCGAAAGCGUGGGUAGCAAACAGGAUUAGAUACCCCGUGUAGUC
rnacentral:rRNA from 1 species